AGGACGAACGCUGGCGGCGCGCUUAAUACAUGCAAGUCGAGCGAGAACCGGUCCUUCGGGACCGGGGAAAGCGGCGAACGGGUGAGUAACACGUGGGUAAUCUGCCCUCGGUACUGGGAUAGCCCGGGGAAACCCGGAGUUAAUACCGGAUAGCCUUUCGAGCUCUUGGGCUCGUUAGAAAAGGUGGCUUCGGCUUCCGACUGAGGAUGAGCCCGCGGCGGAUUAGCUUGUUGGUGAGGUAAUGGCUCACCAAGGCUUCGAUCCGUAGCUGGUCUGAGAGGACGAUCGGCCACACUGGGACUGAGACACGGCCCAGACUCCUACGGGAGCAGCAGUAGGGAAUCUUGCGCAAUGGGCGAAAGCCUGACGCAGCGACGCCGCGUGCGGAAGAGCCGUUCGGGUGUAACCGCGUUUCGAGGUAGGACGAGCCACGUCGGUUAAC
rnacentral:rRNA from 1 species